rnacentral:rRNA from 1 species
GGUUAAGUGACUAAGCGUACACGGUGGAUGCCUUGGCAGUCAGAGGCGAUGAAAGACGUAGUAACUUGCGAUAAGCCCAGAUUAGGUAGUAACAACCAUUUGAGUCUGGGAUUUCUGAAUGGGGAAACCCACGUGCAUAAGCACGUAUCCUUACCUGAAUACAUAGGGUAAGGAGGCGAACCGGGGAACUGAAACAUCUAAGUACCCCGAGGAAAAGAAAUCAACCGAGAUUCCGAAAGUAGCGGCGAGCGAAAUUGGACUAGCCCUUAAGCUUUACACGCGUUAGACGAACGGUCUGGAAAGUCCGACGAUACAGGGUGAUAGUCCCGUAGUUGACGACGUGUGUUCAGUGAAAUCGAGUAGGGCGGGACACGUGAUAUCCUGUCUGAAUAUGGGGGACCAUCCUCCAAGGCUAAAUACUACUGACUGACCGAUAGUGAACCAGUACCGUGAGGGAAAGGCGAAAAGAACCCCUGUGAGGGGAGUGAAAUAGAACCUGAAACCGUGUACGUACAAGCAGUAGGAGCAGGCUUUGUCCUGUGACUGCGUACCUUUUGUAUAAUGGGUCAGCGACUUAUAUUCAGUGGCAAGGUUAACCAUCUAGGGGAGCCGUAGGGAAACCGAGUCUUAACUGGGCGUUCAGUCUCUGGAUAUAGACCCGAAACCAGGUGAUCUAGCCAUGGGCAGGUUGAAGGUUGAGUAACAUCAACUGGAGGACCGAACCGACUAAUGUUGAAAAAUUAGCGGAUGACUUGUGGCUAGGGGUGAAAGGCCAAUCAAACCUGGAGAUAGCUGGUUCUCCCCGAAAGCUAUUUAGGUAGCGCCUCGGACGAAUACUACUGGGGGUAGAGCACUGUUAAGGCUAGGGGUCAUCCCGACUUACCAACCCUUUGCAAACUCCGAAUACCAGUAAGUACUAUCCGGGAGACACACGGCGGGUGCUAACGUCCGUCGUGGAGAGGGAAACAACCCAGACCGCCAGCUAAGGUCCCAAAUUACUACUAAGUGGGAAACGAUGUGGGAAGGCUCAGACAGCCAGGAUGUUGGCUUAGAAGCAGCCAUCAUUUAAAGAAAGCGUAAUAGCUCACUGGUCGAGUCGGCCUGCGCGGAAGAUGUAACGGGGCUAAGUAGUAAACCGAAGCUGCGGCAAUGUGCUUUUGCACAUUGGGUAGGGGAGCGUUCUGUAAGCGGUUGAAGGUGUGUGGUAACGCAUGCUGGACGUAUCAGAAGUGCGAAUGCUGACAUGAGUAACGAUAAAGGGGGUGAAAAACCUCCUCGCCGGAAGACCAAGGGUUCCUGUCCAACGUUAAUCGGGGCAGGGUAAGUCGACCCCUAAGGCGAGGCCGAAAGGCGUAGUCGAUGGGAAACGGGUUAAUAUUCCCGUACUUCUUACAAUUGCGAUGGGGGGACGGAGAAGGCUAGGUGGGCCUGGCGACGGUUGUCCAGGUUCAAGUGCGUAGGCUUAAGAGUUAGGUAAAUCCGGCUCUUUCUAAGGCUGAGACACGACGUCGAGCACCUACGGGUGUGAAGUCAUUGAUGCCAUGCUUCCAGGAAAAGCCUCUAAGCUUCAGAUUGUAAGGAAUCGUACCCCAAACCGACACAGGUGGUCGGGUAGAGAAUACCAAGGCGCUUGAGAGAACUCGGGUGAAGGAACUAGGCAAAAUGGUACCGUAACUUCGGGAGAAGGUACGCUCUUGAUGGUGAAGUCCCUUGCGGAUGGAGCUGACGAGAGUCGCAGAUACCAGGUGGCUGCAACUGUUUAUUAAAAACACAGCACUGUGCAAAAUCGUAAGAUGACGUAUACGGUGUGACGCCUGCCCGGUGCCGGAAGGUUAAUUGAUGGGGUUAGACUUCGGUCGAAGCUCUUGAUCGAAGCCCCGGUAAACGGCGGCCGUAACUAUAACGGUCCUAAGGUAGCGAAAUUCCUUGUCGGGUAAGUUCCGACCUGCACGAAUGGCGUAAUGAUGGCCACGCUGUCUCCACCCGAGACUCAGUGAAAUUGAAAUCGCUGUGAAGAUGCAGUGUACCCGCGGCUAGACGGAAAGACCCCGUGAACCUUUACUACAGCUUGGCACUGAACAUUGACCCUACAUGUGUAGGAUAGGUGGGAGGCUUUGAAGCACGUACGCCAGUAUGUGUGGAGCCGUCCUUGAAAUACCACCCUUGUAGUGUUGAUGUUCUAACGUCGACCCCUAAUCGGGGUUGCGGACAGUGCCUGGUGGGUAGUUUGACUGGGGCGGUCUCCUCCCAAAGAGUAACGGAGGAGCACGAAGGUGGGCUAAUCACGGUUGGACAUCGUGAGGUUAGUGCAAUGGCAUAAGCCCGCUUGACUGCGAGAAUGACAAUUCGAGCAGGUGCGAAAGCAGGUCAUAGUGAUCCGGUGGUUCUGAAUGGAAGGGCCAUCGCUCAACGGAUAAAAGGUACUCCGGGGAUAACAGGCUGAUACCGCCCAAGAGUUCAUAUCGACGGCGGUGUUUGGCACCUCGAUGUCGGCUCAUCACAUCCUGGGGCUGAAGUCGGUCCCAAGGGUAUGGCUGUUCGCCAUUUAAAGUGGUACGCGAGCUGGGUUUAGAACGUCGUGAGACAGUUCGGUCCCUAUCUGCCGUGGGCGUUGGAAGAUUGAAGGGGCUGCUCCUAGUACGAGAGGACCGGAGUGGACGAACCUCUGGUGUUCGGGUUGUGUCGCCAGACGCAUUGCCCGGUAGCUAAGUUCGGAAUCGAUAACCGCUGAAAGCAUCUAAGCGGGAAGCGAGCCCUGAGAUGAGUCUUCCCUGAUACUUUAAGUAUCCUAAAGGGUUGUCGGAGACUACGACGUUGAUAGGUCAGGUGUGUAAGUGCUGUGAGGCAUUGAGCUAACUGAUACUAAUUGCCCGUGAGGCUUAACCAU